AGACUGAAGAUGUUCUUGAUGAUGGAAUCGUGAAAAACAUACAAAUCUUAUUGCUUCUUCAGGUUGCGGUUGCCUAUGAAAAUGGGUAAGCUCGAUAUGUGGCUGAAAGACGGAUUCCAUUUGUUGCUCUUGAUGUGACAAGGUAUAAAGUCAUUUAUAUUUUUUAUGUGCUAAAUGGGUUAAAGAGAUGAGGAUUCGAGCUCUGGAGAUGGUGUCAGAACUCAAAGAGCGGAUAAACAGGGCCUUCUGGUUUUUGCUAUCGGUGUAGGCCUCAGCGCAUUUGACAAAGCAUCCGU